UUAUUGCAGCGUCUGAAGGAUCGACAGUGUUCCUGCCGUGUCCUUUACCGUUUAAUUACAGUGAUAUUUUAAUUAAAGUCAAGUGGGUAAAGGAUGGAAAUUUAGAGUUAUGUGCAUAUUUAAUUGAAAAACAAAGAAUCCAUAGUCUAAAAUGUAGACCUCGGUUUAAUGUAGGUCUAGAACCUACAGGACUGUUUAUUACUAAUGUAACAAGCCUCGACUCUGGUCUUUAUAACUGCUCAAUGACAAGAGUGAUACCCCCACCAACGAUAGAGAGAUAUUCAGCCCUGAGGCUUCAGGUUACAGGUGGAAGGGAAACUGGUUACCAUGAAGAAACCCACAUAAGACAGUCUGCCACCCAGGCCCCAGGCCACGAAAAUUCCGAAUGCCUUUACUGCACUACAGUGGUUUGUGUGACCACGUUCAUCAUCUUCAUCGUUGUCAUCACAUUUAUAUGGAUACUGUACUGCGUCUGUAUGCGUAGGACUCAAAAAUAAAAACAUGAUUUCAUCAUCA